AUGAACGCUGGCGGCGUGCCUAAUACAUGCAAGUCGAGCGAACGGACGAGAAGCUUGCUUCUCUGAUGUUAGCGGCGGACGGGUGAGUAACACGUGGAUAACCUACCUAUAAGACUGGGAUAACUUCGGGAAACCGUAGCUAAUACCGGAUAAUAUUUUGAACCGCAUGGUUCAAAAGUGAAAGACGGUCUUGCUGUCACUUAUAGAUGGAUCCGCGCUGCAUUAGCUAGUUGGUAAGGUAGCGGCUUACCAAGGCAACGAUGCAUAGCCGACCUGAGAGGGUGAUCGGCCACACUGGAACUGAGACACGGUCCAGACUCCUACGGGAGGCAGCAGUAGGGAAUCUUCCGCAAUGGGCGAAAGCCUGACGGAGCAACGCCGCGUGAGUGAUGAAGGUCUUCGGAUCGUAAAACUCUGUUAUUAGGGAAGAACAUAUGUGUAAGUAACUGUGCACAUCUUGACGGUACCUAAUCAGAAAGCCACGGCUAACUACGUG
rnacentral:rRNA from 1 species